CCUACGGGUGGCAGCAGUGAGGAAUAUUGGUCAAUGGACGAGAGUCUGAACCAGCCAAGUAGCGUGAAGGAUGACUGCCCUAUGGGUUGUAAACUUCUUUUAUAUGGGAAUAAAACGUUCCACGUGUGGGAUUUUGUAUGUACCAUAUGAAUAAGGAUCGGCUAACUCCGUGCCAGCAGCCGCGGUAAUACGGAGGAUCCGAGCGUUAUCCGGAUUUAUUGGGUUUAAAGGGAGCGUAGGUGGAUUGUUAAGUCAGUUGUGAAAGUUUGCGGCUCAACCGUAAAAUUGCAGUUGAAACUAGCAGUCUUGAGUACAGUAGAGGUGGGCGGAAUUCGUGGUGUAGCGGUGAAAUGCUUAGAUAUCACGAAGAACUCCGAUUGCGAAGGCAGUUCACUGGACUGCAACUGACACUGAGGCUCGAAAGUGUGGGUAUCAAACAGGAUUAGAUACCCUAGUAGUC
rnacentral:rRNA from 1 species